rnacentral:rRNA from 1 species
ACUCAAAGGAAUUGACGGGGGCCCGCACAAGCGGUGGAACAUGUGGUUUAAUUCGAAGAUACGCGAAAAACCUCACCAAGGCUUGACAUACAGCAAGUAGUGAACCGAAAGGGGAACGAACCGUCAAGUCCGGUAAGCUGUACAGGUGCUGCAUGGCUGUCGUCAGCUCGUGUCGUGAGAUGUUGGGUUAAGUCCCGCAACGAGCGCAACCAUUUUCCCAUGUUGCAAUUGCAUCGAAGACUUCGGUUUUUGGUGCAAGCACUCUUGGGGUACUGCCUGGGAUAACCAGGAGGAAGGUGGAGAUGACGUCAAGUCAGUACGGCCCUUAUGCCUUGGGCUACACACGUGUUACAAUGGGUGAAACAAAGGGUUGCCAACCCGCGAGGGGGAGCUAAUCUCUAAAAAUCAUCCUCAGUUCAGAUUGGAGUCUGCAAUCCGACUCCAUGAAGCCGGAAUCGCUAGUAAUGGAAGAUCAGCACGCUUCCGUGAAUACGUUCCCGGGCCUUGUACACACCGCCCGU